AUGUCCGUGGAGCGGGCCCCUGCUGGGAAAGGGAAGGGGCCACUUUACCCCAGCGCCGCGGGGAAUCUUCGCCCUCCAGCGGUUUUCAUUGUAGCAGCUUUGGAAGGUGUCCGGUCCCAGGUGCAGCUGGUGGAGUCCGGAGGGGAUGUGAAAAAGCCCGGAGACUCUCUCCGCCUCUCCUGCAAAGCCUCCGGGUUCACCUUCAGCAGCUACAGCAUGAGCUGGGUCCGGCAGGCUCCUGGGAAGGGGCUGGAGUGGGUCUCAGCUAUUAGGGGCAGCGGGGUUACUAUCUACUACUCCGACGCAGUGAAAGGCCGAUUCACCACCUCCAGAGACAACUCCAACAACCUGCUGUAUCUGCAACUGACCGGCCUGAAGCCCGAGGACACCGCCCGCUAUUACUGUGCGAGACACAGUGAGAGGAAGCUGGGCUGA